UAUCGAUUGAUCACACCAACAUGUAUUGAAAAAGGGAAAUGUGCUGCAAAAUUGCGCUCUGUAAUAUUUCGGAGCGAAAUUUUAAAAAAUUGAAUUCCAAGUGGUUGUACAGAAUGCCAUGAUUAUAAUGCUAUUUGAGUUUAUGAGCAACUGGUUACCAUGCUUCAAUGUGAUAAUGUAAAAAGUAGUGUAAAGCACUAGUAAAUUUCUACUGUUGGGCAAUAUUGAAAAUGCUGUAUGCUUCAUAUUUGGAGAAAGUACUUACACUAAUGGCAUUUUACUGUGGAGAUGGAUUCAACUAUCAAUAUGGUCUGAUAGUGGAUGAUUUACUAGCGAACUUAACUUACUGGUCUCUAAGUUCUUCAUGACUGACUGCUCAGUGACUUAAGUUUGAAAACAGGAGAUUCCAAGGCAGAAGAAUUAACUUGAACUGAAGAUGAUAGUGACUUUGGAGUUGCUUUUGAAUUAUUGAAAUCACCACACAUGACAAUGAUGUAACGGACCAGAGGUGAUAACUGUAACUCAGCGUACGUUAUCUAUUAAGGAUCCACUGUGACGGAUUCACACAAGCUGAUGGUGAUGGAUAGACCAGUUUACAGUUCCAAGUGUUUCCAUCUCCAGAAAUAUCAUUCCAUAAGGAAGAAAAUUGCCAAGUUGAAGAAGAAAAUAAAGAAUCCCCUAGAUUAUGAAGUGUGUAAUGAUGAAGAAAAGAAGAAAAAGAAGCAUAAAUAUUGUUAAGAUGAAAUGGCUGUAAAAGUAUGGCUUUAAAUUGAGCUAUCCCAUCUGUAGCUGGUUGUGUGUAUUUAAGCCAAAGAAAGAUGCCUUCUUGUCUCUUUUCUUAUUUAUUUUGCACACACACACAUAUAACAACACAUGGACGAUGACUUCACAUAUAUAAGGUAACACAUAAUACUAUAUACAAUUAAAGUAGAAAUUGCCGCUAACAAAGAGCGAACGAAUACUUCUUUUUGCCGCUAACAAAAGAGCGAGCGGUGCCUACUUGCACCAGUUUCACACCAACUCUCAGGGAGAAGUCCUUACGAAAAAACAAGCUUAAGUGCGCCUCCCCCAUAUUCCAAACAUACAUAUGGGUUAGCGCAUACUGCGCCAUCUAUGUUCAGUAUUAAUCUUUACUGUAUGAAUAAAUAUACAAAGAAUAAAAAAUACAAAUAAAGUAAUUAAAUAAAAACAAAAUAUUAUAAAUAAUAAAAUCACAUAAACACCAUCCGAGUGUCUGUAUACAUAAGAACUGAUUU